rnacentral:lncRNA from 1 species
AGUGGUGAGCAAGAUUGAAGAUGGAGAAGAUAGAUGCAAUCAAGGUGGAGAUCGACUAUGGAGGGUUGAUCGAUGCUCUCUUAUGCAAGAAGGAGCCAUCUAUAUGGAAGAUGCCAGUGGAAGCCCCAUGCGAGGUGGAACUCCUAAUGGAGAUGGAUCAGACACGAGAUGAGAGACUCGAGAGGAUGAGCAAUGUCACGGAGAGGCUACCCCAAGCA